AAAACCAGUCUCAGUUCGGAUUGUAGGCUGAAACUCGCCUACAUGAAGCUGGAGUUACUAGUAAUCGCGAAUCAGAAUGUCGCGGUGAAUACGUUCCCGGGUCUUGUACACACCGCCCGUCACACCAUGAGAGUUGGCAAUACCCGAAGUCCGUGAGCUAACCGCAAGGAGGCAGCGGCCGAAGGUAGGGUCAGCGAUUGGGGUGAAGUCGUAACAAGGUAGCCGUAGGAGAACCUGCGGCUGGAUCACCUCCUUU
rnacentral:rRNA from 1 species